GCCUGGUGGUUCCUUGAGACGGCCCAUUCAUGCUGGACCUCGAGGUUGUGUUUGACAGGCGCACAUUGAUCUCUGCGAUUUCAUGCUUGGAAGUUGAUGUUUCUGUGCUCCUUCCACAGCCCGGUUGCAGAGACACGG